rnacentral:ncRNA from 1 species
CUAACACGUGCGCGAGUCCGAGGCUCGCAUGAAAGCUGCUGUGGCGCAAGGCCGGUCAGGGCCAAGGUGGGAUCCCGAGGCCUCUCAGUCCGCCCAGGGUGCACCACCCGCCCUUCUCGCCCGCCUUGCUGCGGAGGUUGAGCAUGAGCGCACAUGUUAGGACCCGAAAGAUAGUCAACUAUGCCUGGGCAGGGCGAAGCCACAGGAAAAUCUGGUGGUGGUCCCUAGCGGUCCUGAUGUGCAAAUCCCAUCUGACCUGGGUAUAGGGGUGAAAGACUGAUCGAACCAUCUAGUAGCUGG